rfam:Drosophila simulans chrT_M_3102 genomic scaffold, whole genome shotgun sequence.
CAACCUCAACUCAUAUGGGACUACCCCCUGAAUUUAAGCAUAUUAAUUAGGGGAGGAAAAGAAACUAACAAGGAUUUUCUUAGUAGCGGCGAGCGAAAAGAAAACAGUUCAGCACUAAGUCAGAAUCCACCACAGUGGCG